rnacentral:rRNA from 1 species
GAUUGAACGCUGGCGGCAUGCCUAACACAUGCAAGUCGAACGGCAGCGCGGGGGCAACCCUGGCGGCGAGUGGCGGACGGGUGAGGAACACAUAGGAAUCUACCUCAACGUGGGGGAUAACGUAGGGAAACUUACGCUAAUACCGCAUACGACCGAGAGGGGAAAGCGGCGGACCGCAAGGCGUCGCGCGGUGAGAUGAGCCUAUGUCCGAUUAGCUAGUUGGCGGGGUAAGAGCCCACCAAGGCGACGAUCGGUAGCUGGUCUGAGAGGAUGAUCAGCCACACUGGAACUGAGACACGGUCCAGACUCCUACGGGAGGCAGCAGUGGGGAAUAUUGGACAAUGGACGAAAGUCUGAUCUAGCAACACCGCGUGUGCGAAGAAGGCCUUCGGGUCGUAAAGCACUUUUUGGAAGGAAUAGGAAGGAAUGUACUUCCAGAAUAAGUCUCGGCUAACUACGUGCCAGCAGCCGCGGUAACACGUAGGAGGCAAACGUUAUCCGGAUUUACUGGGCGUAAAGCGCGUGUAGGUGGUACUGUAAGUAGGGCGUGAAAGCUCCUGGCUCAACUGGGAGAGGCCGUUCUAAACUACAGGACUAGAGGAUGGUAGAGGGAGGUGGAAUUCCAGGUGUAGCGGUGGAAUGCGCAGAUAUCUGGAGGAACACCGGUGGCGAAGGCGGCCUCCUGGACCAUUCCUGACACUCAGACGCGAAAGCUAGGGUAGCAAACGGGAUUAGAGACCCCGGUAGUCCUAGCCCUAAACGAUGUAGACUAGGCGUCGGAAGCUUAAUCGCUUUCGGUGUCCAAGCUAACGCGAUAAGUCUACCGCCUGGGGACUACGGCCGCAAGGUUAAAACUCAAAGGAAUUGACGGGUCCCCGCACAAGCAGCGGAGCGUGUGGUUUAAUUCGUUGCUACACGAAGAACCUUACCUGGGUUUGACAUAGCAGUGGUAGGGAAGCGAAAGCGGACCGACCCUUCGGGGAGCUGUUACAGGUGUUGCAUGGCUGUCGUCAGCUCGUGUCGUGAGAUGUUCGGUUAAGUCCGCUAACGAGCGCAACCCGCGUUGUGUGUUACAAGUGUCACACAAUACCGCCGGUAUUAAGUCGGAGGAAGGUGCGGAUGACGUCAAGUCAGCAUGACCUUUAUAUCCAGGGCUACACACACGCUACAAUGGUCAGCACAAUAGGUUGCCAAGUCGUGAGACGGAGCCAAUCCUCCAAAGCUGGCCUCAGUUCAGAUUGCAGGCUGCAACUCGCCUGCAUGAAGUUGGAGUUGCUAGUAACCGCAGGUCAGCUAUACUGCGGUGAAUACGUUCCCGGGGAU